AUCAACUAGAAACCAUUAUCCCCAUUUUAUAGAUGAGAAAACCAAGGCACAGAGAGAUCAAGUAACAUAUCCAAGAUGGCAGAGCAGCUGUUCUUAUUCAUUCCUGGGCACAGACCGAACUAACUUUGGAAGGAACUUGGUUUAUAGUUUAAAACAAUGACGAUAACAGCCCUUUACCAAAACAAAGUUCCUUCUUGCCUGGAGACUAGACUGCCUUUGUCGGACUAACAAAUUAGCCACAAGAUUAGAAUUUAUGGUUUAGGAGUCAUGCAGCUGGAGGAUACAAGAUUCUGACCCUCCUUAAACUGCUCCUAAGAUCAGUGUUUGAGAUGUUUUGCAGACCCUGCACUCGAUGGAUCAUCUGGCACCACCCAGAUCGAUAAAAUGGCCCAUCUGAUCUUAUGGCCCCUGACCUGGGAAUUGACUCCAGCACAAAAGGACAGCUUCAGUUCUGCAUGAUUUCAUCUCUGACCCAACAGUCAGCACUCUUGACUCAAUGGCCUUCCCUCCCACCCCCACCAAAUUAUCCUGAAUUAAAAACUGUGAUCCCAGAAUGCUCAGGGAGACUGAUUUGAGUAAUAAUAAAACUUU
rnacentral:lncRNA from 10 species